AUUACAUUCACGUGUCGAUUACUAUUCGCGAUCGAGGUUCGUUCCAUUCGCUGGCGGACUAAGUAACUUGUCGUCAUGUUUCUUUAAAGCAUGACAAAUAAGUUCGCGCUCGGUGUACCGAAGUUGAAUGUCGGCGACGCGUGAAAUGCCUUUUCAACGGCUACCGUCGUAAAGAUCUGCGGACAUACGUUUGUUUGUUGGAACCGUGCGAACGUAACGGUGUUCAAGAAUAUUCCCGGUUGUCUGCGUCGAUUUCACAACGACGUUUCUGUCUUUCAGUUUCUCUUAUCAGAUUUUAAUUAAAUUUAACUAAUCGAAGUAAUGUUGAUCGUGUACGAUCUGUGAAUAUUUGUUCCGUCAUGUGCGAUAUCUUAAUACUUCAACUGAAUUGAUCGCAGGAAAUUAAUUUGUUCACGUGAAACUUUAAACAACCGUGCACGUUUUUAACGGCCGACUAAAAUGUGCAGCUAAAGUGCAAGUGUAACGUUAGAUAGCUCAUCAAGAGCAAACCCGUAUUUGCAUGUUUGUUUGGAGCAUUCGCUGUACUAAAUUCUUGAAUUAGAACAGUUUGCACACGCCUCACAUGAUCUUUGAACCAUCAUAGAAUCGCUGAUAAGAUAAUGAGGAAACUGGAUGUAGCUCGUAACACAUUAGAAUGAAAUUAUUGAAAGAAACAGCUGAAAUUCGAAGUGUCGUGUCACUGUGGGAAUAUUAUACAUAUAAAAUAUAUCGCUCAAAAAAGAAAUUACAAAUAUAACUUGGAACAUUUUCGAUUUAUCAAAUGUAUAUGAGAAAUGCGAAUAAAAACAUUUUUCAUAGAAAACACCACCGAUAUUAUUAAAUUAAUCGAACGGAAAAUUAGUAUUCGUUUUGUCGAGUCACAAUCACUCGCGAAUCGGGAACCCAACACACAAAACAAGAAUCGUUCGAGAAAAAUGGGAAAUCAAUAUUUCGACACGAACACGAUUUAACACUAACUAUACCGGCACUUUUCCUACCAAACAGAAACAAAAGGAAAAUUAAAUAAACUAAAGAAAACGCAGAAUUUGAAAUCCGGUGAUUUGACAGGUUCCCGGUACAGUUAGUGUUAACACUAUUUUUACCGAAGAUGUCGAAUGGCACCAUCUGGAACGUUAUCUUAAAAUUAUUUUCCGAGUGUAGUCGUACAUUCUGAAUUGACUUUUCGGCUUUUCCAAUAACGGUUAUAAAAUGAACUACAGGAAAUGUCUAAAAUUCAAUCGAGGACAAAUUAUUAAAUUGAGAAAAUAAUUUGAAGUGAAAACUUCAGAAGGUGUCUUUUGACAGCCUCGGUAGGAAUAGUGUUAAAGACGGCAAGCGGUUUCGACGCAGUGGGUACAUCAUAAUACAUUCACCAUAUGACGACUGUACAGCUUAGCAGCACUUUCAAUACUGUUCAUAAAAAUACAUCGCAUAUAAACGAGCAAUCGGUUUAUACGCAAGGUCGGCCCGGGACUUGCGACCAGAUAGAGCGUUUCCCCGAUCUUUCAUCUUUCUCCGGGCCCCACGGCCGCGGAACGCGGGCUAUAUGUACAAAAAAGAUUUCGGCUCGAGUCGCAGGUCGGGCCAAACGAAGA